rnacentral:tRNA from 1 species
GAAACAAUGUAGCUCAGUUUGGUAGAGCGCCCGGUUAUUCGGGAGGUCACGAGUUCAAAUCUCGCCCUGUUUCU